UGGGUUUAAGAAUUUGUGACAGUCGAAGAGUAGUAAACUGUCAGAGAGAAAAAAAUAAAGAUGAGGGUUUAACACCUUUCAUAAAUCAAAAGGAAGUGGCAGCAUCUCCUUUCCAGGCAGUGAUUAGCUGGCACCGGGAUCUUACUCCAGCUUCAAAUUACAGAGAAGCAAAACCAUCAAUCACAGCCCAAACAUCAUCAUCAACAAGACAAAUAAAAGGAAGGAAGUCACAGGUAAUCAGUACAUGGAACACACUAAGCUGGCUUUUGGGCUGUGGAGUGGACACUGCCUUGCCUGCUCAGUGCUUCCAGCAUUUUGUGACCAGGUACGGAGAUCUCUGGUGGUGGUACGAUAAGAGUACGCGGCACUUGCCAUCUGAUAUAUAUUGGGAAAGUGAAGAAAGAGGGGAAGAAUAGCAAGAACAAAUGAAGAAGCGAAGUUGGUCAAUCAGUAACUGGCAGAGCUGUCAAUGAAGAACAAGAGUGUGUUUCCAAUAAUGGUGGAUGGUCAGUCUUUCUCCCAGGUUGGAAAUGUCAAAUACUAGAGGACACACCUUUAAGACUUUACAUCCAAAAGUUCAUCACCACCAAGCAGACCUUCUUCUUAUACCUAUCGGCAGUCUGCUAAAGCAACCGAUCCUCAGUCUGACGGACUGCUUGAGAGCAAGAGUCGCAAUUUGUGUUUCUUUCUACUCAAAUGCAAAUAUUUUUUACAAUCGCAAGACCCUGCUGGACAUUAACAACUUAAACUACUGCAAGGCAACCCCAUCAGAGAGUUGCUCAUUGGUGGAGUCACUGAAGGAGCUGGACUUGGUGCAGAUCGUGCUGCUGCUUGCUUCGGAGACUCAGUACAUGAAAGCGGUGUGCAGUCUAACACUUUAUUUUAGGGUGGAUAUUAAAAUGCUUGGUUAAAGGCUUUCAGGAGCUUCUUACAGAAGACCAAGAAAUAGGCCAAGAGAUUUUGGGAGGAGUUUCCAAGUCUUGAGCCUUGGCACCUAAAGGUGGAACUGCCAAAUAUGGAACAAUGACACAGGAAGAUGAGCAGAAAUCAGAAAUGAAGGAAUAUCAUACCUUGAAGAGUUAUUUGGGUGGAGAAGAUUAUAUAGAUAAAAGGGAAAGGCCAUGGAAAGGGGAAACAAGGGCAUUUAAUCAGAUUCUCCAAGAGGACCACUGCCUUGUCAUGGUUUGGAGUCUUGCAUACAUCAAUGACCUGGAGAGCUAUGCUGGUUGGAGUCAGGCUUUAUGCUUUGGCUGUUAGUGGAGUGACCCAUGCCAAACAACUCUAAGUGUAGAGGACAGGGUAAAGUUGGUCCUCUGGUUCUCCAGGGUUGGGGUCUCAGCUGAGGGCUACCAAUCCUGGCUGGUAAAACAAAAUUGUUAUGAAACCAGCAAUGAAGAAUCUUUCAGCAUCUGAAUGUGAUGAUAUUCCUGAGUCUCCACUCAGGACUUGCAUGACUAACACAUAGUGAAAAUCAGGAGGAAGCUACUGACAGGACGAAUGAAGCCCUAAACACCGCCAGAGAUACAGGACCUUCAUUACUGACCUAAAUGCCAAUGGCAUAACAGGCUGUAAGUAAGGAAGCACUCAAUCAGAUUAACAGUGCCCAGCUAUCAACAAGGAACCCGGCAACAGAAAGAUGCACCAAAGAACUGUAGGAAACAUGGGAUGCAAAGUGGGUGGGGCAUGGGUGCAGAAUCAAACUUAGCUGGGGGUUGUUGAAGUGAACUGAAUUAGUUUGCAGGUUGGAUUCAGCUAACUGGAGGCAUGAAGAAACUAUCCUGCUCCUCUGGCUCCACAUGGCAUGCUAUCUGCAAUCACCUGUUGCACCCAUCUUCUUUUUACUACCAAGCUUCCCUUGCUCCAGGAAACAUGAUCAGACGUUAAUGAUUUCAAUUUGCAGCCAAAGUAUGAAUGGAGCCUUAUUUUAGUAUUAUAAUCACAGACCUAUCUUUCAAUUGAAUUCAUUCACUUCUAAAAAGUUUAAUUCUAUCUGAAGCAGACCUGAAUAUUUAGA